rnacentral:rRNA from 1 species
AGUUUGAUCCUGGCUCAGGACGAACGCUGGCGGCGUGCUUAACACAUGCAAGUCGAACGAAGAGCGAUGGAAGCUUGCUUCUAUGAAUCUUAGUGGCGAACGGGUGAGUAACGCGUAAUCAACCUGCCCUUCAGAGGGGGACAACAGUUGGAAACGACUGCUAAUACCGCAUACGAUCCAACCUCGGCAUCGAGGAUGGAUGAAAGGUGGCCUCUAUUUAUAAGCUAUCACUGAAGGAGGGGAUUGCGUCUGAUUAGCUAGUUGGAGGGGUAACGGCCCACCAAGGCAAUGAUCAGUAGCCGGUCUGAGAGGAUGAACGGCCACAUUGGGACUGAGACACGGCCCAGACUCCUACGGGAGGCAGCAGUGGGGAAUCUUCCGCAAUGGACGAAAGUCUGACGGAGCAACGCCGCGUGAGUGAUGACGGCCUUCGGGUUGUAAAGCUCUGUUAAUCGGGACGAAAGGUCCUCUUGCGAAUA